GAUGAACGCUGGCGGCGUGCUUAACACAUGCAAGUCGAACGGAGUGCCUUUGAAAGAGGAUUCGUCCAAUUGAUAAGGUUACUUAGUGGCGGACGGGUGAGUAACGCGUGAGGAACCUGCCUUGGAGUGGGGAAUAACACAGUGAAAAUUGUGCUAAUACCGCAUAAUGCAGUUGGGCCGCAUGGCUCUGACUGCCAAAGAUUUAUCGCUCUGAGAUGGCCUCGCGUCUGAUUAGCUAGUUGGUGGGGUAACGGCCCACCAAGGCGACGAUCGGUAGCCGACCUGAGAGGGUGAUCGGCCACAUUGGAACUGAGAGACGGUCCAA
rnacentral:rRNA from 1 species